rnacentral:rRNA from 1 species
AGAGUUUGAUCAUGGCUCAGGAUGAACGCUAGCGGCAGGCCUAAUACAUGCAAGUCGAACGAGAUUAAGAGGCUUGCUUCUUAUGAAAGUGGCGCACGGGUGCGUAACGCGUAUGCAACCUACCUUAAUCAGGGGGAUAGCCCGAAGAAAUUCGGAUUAAGACCGCAUAAAAACACAGGAUAGCAUUAUCCAAUGUUCAAAUAUUUAUAGGAUUAAGAUGGGCAUGCGUGUCAUUAGCUAGUUGGCGGGGUAACGGCCCACCAAGGCGACGAUGACUAGGGGAUCUGAGAGGAUGACUCCCCACACUGGUACUGAGACACGGACCAGACUCCUACGGGAGGCAGCAGUAAGGAAUAUUGGUCAAUGGAGGGAACUCUGAACCAGCCAUGCCGCGUGCAGGAAGACAGCCCUCUGGGUCGUAAACUGCUUUUAUUCGGGAAUAAACCUUUCUACGUGUAGGAAGCUGAAUGUACCGAAGGAAUAAGGAUCGGCUAACUCCGUGCCAGCAGCCGCGGUAAUACGGAGGAUCCAAGCGUUAUCCGGAUUUAUUGGGUUUAAAGGGUGCGUAGGCGGCUUAUUAAGUCAGGGGUGAAAGACGGUGGCUCAACCAUCGCAGUGCCCUUGAUACUGAUGAGCUUGAAUACACUAGAGGUAGGCGGAAUGUGACAAGUAGCGGUGAAAUGCAUAGAUAUGUCACAGAACACCGAUUGCGAAGGCAGCUUACUAUGGUGUUAUUGACGCUGAGGCACGAAAGCGUGGGGAUCAAACAGGAUUAGAUACCCUGGUAGUCCACGCCCUAAACGAUGAAUACUCGCUGUUAGCGAUAUACAGUUAGCGGCUAAGCGAAAGCGUUAGGUAUUCCACCUGGGGAGUACGCCCGCAAGGGUGAAACUCAAAGGAAUUGACGGGGGCCCGCACAAGCGGAGGAGCAUGUGGUUUAAUUCGAUGAUACGCGAGGAACCUUACCCGGGCUUGAAAGUUAGUGAAUGAUCUAGAGAUAGAUCAGUGAGCAAUCACACGAAACUAGGUGCUGCAUGGCUGUCGUCAGCUCGUGCCGUGAGGUGUUGGGUUAAGUCCCGCAACGAGCGCAACCCCUAUGUUUAGUUGCCAGCACGUUAAGGUGGGGACUCUAAACAGACUGCCUGUGCAAACAGAGAGGAAGGGGGGGACGACGUCAAGUCAUCAUGGCCCUUACGUCCGGGGCUACACACGUGCUACAAUGGAUGGUACAGAGGGCAGCAAGCUGGCAACAGCAAGCGAAUCUCAAAAAGCCAUUCACAGUUCGGAUAGAGGUCUGCAACUCGACCUCUUGAAGUUGGAUUCGCUAGUAAUCGCGUAUCAGCAAUGACGCGGUGAAUACGUUCCCGGGCCUUGUACACACCGCCCGUCAAGCCAUGGAAGUUGGGGGUACCUAAAGUAUGUAACCGUAAGGAGCGUCCUAGGGUAAAACCGAUAACUGGGGCUAAGUCGUAACAAGGUAGCCGU